rnacentral:misc_RNA from 1 species
AGGGCGUGUGACUGCGGCGG